GCCAGGCAUGGUGGUGCAUGCCUGCAGUCCCAGCUACUUGGGAGGCUGAGGUGGGAGGAUGGCUUGAGCCUGGGAGGUUGAGGCUGCAGUAAGUCAAGGUUAUGCUACUGCACUCCCGCCUGGGCAACACAGUGAGACUCUGUCUCAA
ensembl:misc_RNA Metazoa_SRP Metazoan signal recognition particle RNA